rnacentral:rRNA from 1 species
UACGUAGGGGGCAAGCGUUAUCCGGAUUCACUGGGUGUAAAGGGAGCGUAGACGGCGACGCAAGUCUGGAGUGAAAGCCCGGGGCCCAACCCCGGGACUGCUCUGGAAACUGCGUCGCUGGAGUACGGGAGGGGCAGGCGGAAUUCCUAGUGUAGCGGUGAAAUGCGUAGAUAUUAGGAGGAACACCGGUGGCGAAGGCGGCCUGCUGGACUGUGACUGACGUUGAGGCCCGAAGGCGUGGGGAGCAAACAGG